rnacentral:rRNA from 1 species
UACGAAGGGUGCAAACGUUGCUCGGAAUUACUGGGCGUAAAGGGCGCGUAGGCGGCCUGUUAAGUCGAACGUGAAAUCCCCGGGCUCAACCCGGGAACUGCGUCCGAUACUGGCAGGCUUGAAUUCGGGAGAGGGAUGUGGAAUUCCAGGUGUAGCGGUGAAAUGCGUAGAUAUCUGGAGGAACACCGGUGGCGAAGGCGGCAUCCUGGACCGGUAUUGACGCUGAGGCGCGAAAGCUAGGGGAGCAAACGGG